ensembl:lncRNA
AAGAGGGCUCCUUUGUGGUUAACAGCAGUCCAUGGAGGACAGCCUGGGAGGAAACCUAAGGGCUGGCCUGGAACAUGUGCAAGGCAGUGACUUCAGAGACUCCCAGAACAGCUGCCAGCUGAGUAAUAGUCCAUUGUGUAUAUGUGCCACUACUUCCUUAUCCAAUCUUCUGCCGAUGGACAUCAAAGUUGCUUCCAUGUCCCAGCUGUUGUGAAUGGUGCUGCACUGAACACUGGGACUUUUUGAUGGCAACUAUUCUGACCAGUGUGAGAUGGUACCUCAUUGUGGAGCAGCCAUGAAGAGAUACCCCACGUCCAAGAGUACAUCAUGAGAAAUGCUGGACUGCAUGAAGCACAAGCAAAGGACUAAUGAAAGUGAAAUUGCUCAGUCGUGUCUGACUCUUUGCAACCCCAUGGACUGUAGCCUACCAGGCUCCUCCAUCCAUAGGAUUUUACAGAAAAUUAAGAAUAAGGUCACUAAAUGCUUGAGGGGGACAAAUCCAAAUCAUACCUCCCAAGACACAGUUCGAGCAAAUGCCUGCUGGUGUGUGGAGACAGAAGCAAUACACUGUGUGUGUCACUCUGCUGUGGACCACUAAUCGCUGAAGGCUAAGGGAGCACAUCCAUGUUUAUUUUUAUGAAUGUUCUGCUCUGCAAACUCUGUGGGACAGGCAGAGACAGCCAUGGUCCAGGACUCAGAAUGCUUGUCUUUCAUUCUGCUGCCCCUUAUAAGGUGCAUGAUGUUAAUAAGAAAACCAGUUUUCUGAGCCUCUUCCCAGAUCUUCUGUCCUCAUCCAUGGAUGGAGAAUGAUGAUAUUUAUCUCCUGCUCUUAUUAUGAAGUUCAAGUUCAGCUCUUUUCAGGAUAUAAAUCUGGAUUUCAAGUGUUAAAUGCUACACAACUGAGUGGAAUUAGUGAGCAAGUUUAAAAACCCAGUGGAUGAAAGAAAAUUAUGAAAGUAUGUAUGAAAACCCAUUUUAGUUAACAAGAUGAAAGGAAAACAUAGAUUUUAGAGCUGAGGAGAAAAUAUAUCAAUAGGAUUUGGAAAUUUCUUUUUUUAGCAUGACCUACCUUGCCUAGUG